CCUACGGGUGGCUGCAGUGGGGAAUAUUGGACAAUGGGCGAAAGCCUGAUCCAGCCAUGCCGCGUGUGUGAAGAAGGCCUUCGGGUUGUAAAGCACUUUCAGUGGGGAAGAAAGCCUUGGGGCUAAUACCCUCGAGGAAGGACAUCACCCACAGAAGAAGCACCGGCUAACUCCGUGCCAGCAGCCGCGGUAAUACGGAGGGUGCGAGCGUUAAUCGGAAUUACUGGGCGUAAAGCGCGCGUAGGCGGUCUGAUAAGCCGGUUGUGAAAGCCCCGGGCUCAACCUGGGAACGGCAUCCGGAACUGUCAGGCUAGAGUGCAGGAGAGGAAGGUAGAAUUCCCGGUAUAGCGGUGAAAUGCGUAGAGAUCGGGAGGAAUACCAGUGGCGAAGGCGGCCUUUUGGACUGACACUGACGCUGAGGUGCGAAAGCGUGGGUAGCAAACAGGAUUAGAUACCCCGGUAGUC
rnacentral:rRNA from 1 species